CCAUUGCUUGAAAUUUGACACGGCGUCUCGUGAUUGGUGCAAGCCACUCGAGGUCGAGGAGACAAUAUGGCUCUUUGUUAGUGUUUGUUUUCUCUACUUCGAGUGCAACUUACUGAAACCAGCUGCUGUGGUUUUUUAAUACCUAGUACGAUUUAAGGUUGAUGUGCUCUUUUCUCGAGUCAAGAAGAAGGAAAUUCCUUAUGCACAGUGAGCGACUAGUGUUAGCUCGAAUGAAUUCAGGCUGAUGAAUACGGCAAAUCCGUCGAGUAACAUAAGAUAAGCAGUGCCAGGGAGUUCUAAUCAGUGAAGCACUGGUUCUCGUGUAUCUGUACGAGACUUCAAUUCUGAAUGAAAUAAACUAGUAACUAGCUGAAGAGGUACUAGAGACAAUGUGAGACCAGGAAUUGAUUGAAUGAACGUACAUCCCGGACUGUGCAGACUCAAUGGUGUCUCAUAGUUUGAUUUGUUUCUCAUGUUGGGAGGCAUUGGUGUAAUGUUGGGUAAAUCAAUGGAACAUUGUGAUGAAAAGUGAGAAAUUGACUAUCAAUGACUAUCAACAAGGUUUAAAAUUGUGAGCAUUUGACGACGUCAGUAAUUUAGAAGAUUACUCAUACUGCUUACAGUCUGUAGAUGAAGACCUCGAGCAGAUGAGAUCCGGGGUGAAAUUGCGUUACCAGCACAUUCGAAGUGGCUUUCAGGUCUAAUCUGGGAUUUUACCUAAAUUCACCAUAUGGAAGCUUUCCAUGAAAAUGAAGAGCACAGCAGUGACGAGAGCAACUUCCAGAAAGCAAGUACAGUAGUCCCUCGUAUUUCGAACUUAA